AAGACCUUGCGCUUUUGGAGCGGCCGAUGUCUGAUUAGCUAGUUGGUGGGGUAAUGGCCUACCAAAGCUUCGAUCAGUAGCUGGUCUGAGAGGACGACCAGCCACACUGGGACUGAGACACGGCCCAGACUCCUACGGGAGGCAGCAGUGGGGAAUUUUGGACAAUGGGCGCAAGCCUGAUCCAGCCAUGCCGCGUGAGUGAAGAAGGCCUUCGGGUUGUAAAGCUCUUUCAGCCGGGAAGAAAAGGCUACGACGAAUAAUCGUAGCUCAUGACGGUACCGGAAGAAGAAGCACCGGCUAACUACGUGCCAGCAGCCGCGGUAAUACGUAGGGUGCGAGCGUUAAUCGGAAUUACUGGGCGUAAAGGGUGCGCAGGCGGCUUUGUAAGUCAGAUGUGAAAUCCCCGGGCUUAACCUGGGAACU
rnacentral:rRNA from 1 species